rnacentral:tRNA from 4 species
GAUUAGAUAUCUUAAAUGGUAAAGUAUCGGGCUGCAAACCUGAUUAUGAGUGUUCAAUUCACUCUCUAAUCU